CCUUCGAUAGCUCAGUUGGUAGAGCGGAGGACUGUAGAUGAAUUGUACCAGUCCGCAGUAUGUGCUAAGUACUGUGUAAAUGGUAACAGAUAUCCUUAGGUCGCUGGUUCGAAUCCGGCUCGAAGGA
rnacentral:tRNA from 1 species